AAAAAAAGGCCAUGCUGCCUCACCACCAACUGGGCUCCUCCUCCAUCCCCUCUCUCCUCCUCCAUCCCCUCUCUCCUCCCUCCAAUGAAUCUACAAGUACGAGUACUUCCUGUUUGGCUGUUUGGACUCAUGACCAGCAGGGCACUUGAGUGUGCACCUUUCCUUGAUGCUAGAAGCAAAGAAAGUCCUUCCCCACACUCAAACGCUCUGUGAUCCUUUAUUCUGUCGCCUGGAGAGCCGCCUCGUUGCAUCAUCGUGAGCGCCCACAGCACAGUAGAAAAACACAUGACGCAGCAGGAUAAUAUCAUCACCUGGAUAAACAUCAGCAGCCUGUUGCACCAGCUAUACUCGCAGGCAUCCAUCAAAAAGUCG